GGUUGGUCCAAAGGCAGGGAGUCAUCUCGGUUGCCUGUUCACGGUCAGCUACAGAUGGAGCUCCUCGUUCUACUCCCCACUUCCCACUGCAACACUUGACUAGUCUUAA
rnacentral:Y_RNA from 1 species